AGAGUGAACGCUGGCGGUAGGCCUAACACAUGCAAGUCGAACGGCAGCACAGUAGGAGCUUGCUCUUACGGGUGGCGAGUGGCGGACGGGUGGGGAAUACAUCGGAAUCUACCUUUUUGGUGGGGGAUAACGUAGGGAAACUUACGCUAAUACCGCAUACGCCCUUCGGGGGAAAGCCGGGGACCAGCAAUGGCCUGGCGCUGAUAGAUGAGCCGAUGUCGGAUUAGCUAGUUGGUGAGGUAAUGGCUCACCGAAGGCGACGAUCCGUAGCGUGGUCUGAGAGGAUGAUCACGCCACACUGGAACUGAGACCACGGUCCAGACUCCGACGGGA
rnacentral:rRNA from 1 species